AGAAAGGAUAAGAUAUGGUCAUCGCAACCAAUAUCAGGGUUCAGGAGUCGAUUACGCAAGGGGAAGGUAUUAGCACCCCUCACGUCCGUUGUACUCAACGGGAACCAUUAGGUCAGUUGUGUGCGUUAGUGUUAGUUAAAUGUUAGGCUUUUCAAGUUAUUAGGUGGGAAGGAAAGAAUAGAAGAAAGGAGAAUGUUUUUUGAUUUUUAACAAAGGACUAAACCUAAGCUUUU
rnacentral:lncRNA from 1 species